rnacentral:SRP_RNA from 1 species
GCUGGGCAUGGUGGUGGGUGCCUGUAAUCCCAGCUACUCAGGAGGCUGAGGCAGGAGGAUCGCUUGAAUUUGGGAGGCUGAGGUUGCAGUGAGCCAAGAUCACCCCACUGCACUCCAGCCUGGACAACAGAGCGAGAUUCUGUCUUUA